GGACUACAAGGGUUUCUAAUCCCGUUCGCUCCCCUAGCUUUCGCGCCUCAGCGUCAGUUACAAGCUAGCAAGCCGCCUUCGCCACUGGUGUUCCUCCGCAUAUCUACGCAUUUCACUACUACAUGCGGAAUUCCACUUGCCUCUCUUGCACUCCAGCCCCGCAGUAUUGGACGCAGUUUCGAGGUUGAGCCUCGAACUUUCACAACCAACUUACGGAACCGCCUACGCGCUCUUUACGCCCAGUAAAUCCGGAUAACGCUCGCCCCCUACGUAUUACCGCGGCGGCUGGCAC
rnacentral:rRNA from 1 species